UACGUAGGGGGCUAGCGUUGUCCGGAAUCAUUGGGCGUAAAGCGCGUGUAGGCGGUUCGGUAAGUCCGCUGUGAAAGUCGAGGGCUCAACCCUCGAAAGCCGGUGGAUACUGUCGGGCUAGAGUACGGAAGAGGCGAGUGGAAUUCCAGGUGUAGCGGUGAAAUGCGUAGAUAUCUGGAGGAACACCGGUGGCGAAGGCGCCCACCUG
rnacentral:rRNA from 1 species